UUUGCCGACUGCCUUAAUUGUACAACAGCAACCUUUUAUCAACAAGACAACAACCCUAUCAAAAACCUUAUCAAAAGUUCAAACUCUUGAAGAAUAAAAUCAAAGAUCCGUACCUGGUCGGCUAGUCUGCAGGUUGAAUGGAUGAUCGAUCGAAGCCUGUCUGCAGGUUGAAUGGUUGAUCUUCUGUUUCUUGGUCGCUGCAGCAAGGGGAGGGCGGUAGAGAUGAAAGGGCGAUUGGCUUUAUUUGGGUAAUUAGGAUGCUUACUUGCUAGGAAAGCGGGGCAAUAAUAAAGCUUUAGAGCCCAUCUAGCAGUUGUAGGUCGUAGCCUACCUAGGGGUAUCUAGAAGCGAAUAAACUAUAGCCAUGGAGCCAUUGGAGUUGUUCGAUCAAGCAUCUAUGGCAUUAGUUGUCUGUAGAUCUUGUCCGGACGAGUCUUAAUGACUCUGGGCAGUACUUUUAAACAUUUGGUUUGUAAUAAAUUGAAUCUGAGUUGUCGAAACAGUAUUAUUUGUUUAGUUGUAUUCUAUGAUAACUUGUUUAUUUAUUUGGGAUACGGUUUGGGACGUAUC
rnacentral:lncRNA from 1 species